rnacentral:rRNA from 1 species
CGCGGCCUAUCAGCUUGUUGGUGGGGUAAUGGCCUACCAAGGCGACGACGGGUAGCCGGCCUGAGAGGGUGACCGGCCACACUGGGACUGAGACACGGCCCAGACUCCUACGGGAGGCAGCAGUGGGGAAUAUUGCACAAUGGGCGCAAGCCUGAUACAGCGACGCCGCGUGAGGGAUGACGGCCUUCGGGUUGUAAACCUCUUUCAGCACGGAAGAAGCGAAAGUGACGGUACGUGCAGAAGAAGCGCCGGCUAACUACGUGCCAGCAGCCGCGGUAAUACGUAGGGCGCAAGCGUUGUCCGGAAUUAUUGGGCGUAAAGAGCUCGUAGGCGGUUUGUCGCGUCUGCUGUGAAAGCCCGGGGCUUAACCCCGGGUGUGCAGUGGGUACGGGCAGACUUGAGUGCAGUAGGGGAGACUGGAACUCCUGGUGUAGCGGUGAAAUGCGCAGAUAUCAGGAAGAACACCGAUGGCGAAGGCAGGUCUCUGGGCUGUUACUGACGCUGAGGAGCGAAAGCAUGGGGAGCGAACAGGAUUAGAUACCCUGGUAGUCCAUGCCGUAAACGUUGGGCACUAGGUGUGGGGAACAUUCCACGUUUUCCGCGCCGUAGCUAACGCAUUAAGUGCCCCGCCUGGGGAGUACGG